UCUUCCACAUUUAUGGACUAGUUCCAUUCUGAAAAGAGUAAUCUUUUCCUCAUGAACUGGGGGUGAACUAUAAUAGUUCUACCUAAAGCGCAUGAAAAACAUUUAGUUGUCACCAAUAACGAUGUCAAAUGAUGUGCUUUCUCCACCCACCCCAGCCUCACAUCGUCAUAAACACAUGGCUUUUUAUGGAUUCAAUGUGGUAUAAUAAAUUACCAUGCUCAGAGUCAGGAUCAAUAUCAUAAUCCACUCAUGGAUUUACAUCUGCUGGGUGCACAGGACCAAUUUGAAGAAAUCACAGAAGACAGGGGACUCAGCCCAAUAUCCAUGUGUGAUAACUGGACCUUUGCAUAAAUAGAUUAAUGAUACCAGCUUGAGGAGAGUCCAUAGCUGUGGAACAGUCUUCACAGAAUGACCCUGGCUUAGAACUGCUUAUGAGACACACCCAGAAUCAAAGGCAUUGUUAUGAGGCACCUGUCCCUGAAGGAUAUUCUGUAGCCCAUGCAGAACCCUGUGAUAUAAAACAGAAAUGUACCAAAAAAACGAUUCAUAAGAAAAAUUAUCUCUACCCAGUGAGGAAAUAAUCUUUUCAAUGAUAAGAAUUUAAACAGUUUUGAUAAAGUCUGAUUUAUCUAUUUUUUUCUCUCUUGGUUCAUGGUUUCCAUAUUUUACCUAUGAAAUA